GACGAACGCUGGCGGCGUGCCUAAUACAUGCAAGUAGAACGCACAGUUUAUACCGUAGCUUGCUCCACCAUAGACUGUGAGUUGCGAACGGGUGAGUAACGCGUAGGUAACCUGCCUGGUAGCGGGGGAUAACUAUUGGAAACGAUAGCUAAUACCGCAUAAUAUUAAUUAUUGCAUGAUAAUUAAUUGAAAGGUGCAAUUGCACCACUACCAGAUGGACCUGCGUUGUAUUAGCUAGUAGGUGAGGUAACGGCUCACCUAGGCGACGAUACAUAGCCGACCUGAGAGGGUGAUCGGCCACACUGGGACUGAGACACGGCCCAGACUCCUACGGGAGGCAGCAGUGGGGAAUCUUCGGCAAUGGACGAAAGUCUGACCGAGCAACGCCGCGUGAGUGAAGAAGGUUUUCGGAUCGUAAAGCUCUGUUGUAAGAGAAGAACGGGUGUGAGAGUGGAAAGUUCACACUGUGACGGUAUCUUACCAGAAAGGGACGGCUAACUACGUG
rnacentral:rRNA from 1 species